UGAAACCGUUCAGGGGUAAACCUGAGAAACCCAAAAGAUCGAAUGGGGAGAUUCAUCGUCGACGAAGCUGGACUCCCGUUGGUGUGCGAUUCCCCCGAUUGGGACUCUGUUCCAAAACGCGGGUACACCCCUUCGGCGAAUAACCGGCGACGUAGUCGUGCACUUCUCCCUUAGUAGUACGUCGCGACCCGUUGUGUGUCGGUCUACGGCCUGGGCUCUUUGCCUGUCGCGGUCAUCGUUUUUGGCCGCGGCAGAGGCUCGGUCGCCCGGCCGGCUGCACGACGGUACUCUGACGGUAUCGGGCCGCAACCAAUCCAUUCUCGAAUGUAUUUGCGUCAGGCCCGCCGCAAGCUCAGACAGCACCCGGCGCGUGUGGACCUAGUACCCUCCACGGGUCUGACCAACUGUUUGCAGGCGGUGUCCUCGGACUGGCCAAGCUUUGAAUUACCGGUCAGCGACGCUAUUGCUUUGGGUACUCUCAGGACCCGUCUUGAAACACGGACCAAGGAGUCUAACAUGUGCGCGAGUCAUUGGGACAUUUAAACCUAAAGGCGAAAUGAAAGUGAAAGUCGUCGUAAGCGUCGACCAAGGGAGGAUGGGCCGCUUACGUCGCGGCCUCGCACUCCCGGGGCGUCUCGUUCUCGUUGAGAAGAGGCGCACCCAGAGCGUACACGUU
rnacentral:rRNA from 1 species